rnacentral:rRNA from 1 species
CAGCCGCCGCGGUAAUACGUAGGUGGCAAGCGUUGUCCGGAAUUAUUGGGCGUAAAGGGCUCGCAGGCGGUUUCUUAAGUCUGAUGUGAAAGCCCCCGGCUCAACCGGGGAGGGUCAUUGGAAACUGGGAAACUUGAGUGCAGAAGAGGAGAGUGGAAAUCCACGUGUAGCGGUGAAAUGCGUAGAGAUGUGGAGGAACACCAGUGGCGAAGGCGACUCUCUGGUCUGUAACUGACGCUGAGGAGCGAAAGCGUGGGGAGCGAACAGGAUUAGAUACCCCCGUAGUCCCUGUCUCUUAUAC